UACGUAGGAUGCAAGCGUUGUCCGGAAUUAUUGGGCGUAAAGAGUUCGUAGGCGGUUGGCUAAGUCUGGUGUUAAAUACAGGAGCUCAACUCCUGCAUGGCACUGGAAACUGGGCAGCUAGAGUGUGGUAGAGGUCACGGGAAUUCCAGGUGUAGCGGUGAAAUGCGUAGAUAUCUGGAGGAACACCAGUGGCGAAAGCGCGUGACUGGGCCACAACUGACGCUGAGGAACGAAAGCUAGGGGAGCGAAGGGG
rnacentral:rRNA from 1 species